CCUACGGGUGGCAGCAGUCGAGAAUCAUUCACAAUGGGGGAAAGCCUGAUGGAGCGACGCCGCGUGGGGGAAUGAAGGUCUUCGGAUUGUAAACCCCUGUCAUGUGGGAGCAAAUGAAAAAGAUAGUACCACAAGAGGAAGAGACGGCAAACUCUGGGCCAGCAGCCGCGGUAAUACAGAGGUCUCAAGCGUUGUUCGGAAUCACUGGGCUUAAAGCGUGCGUAGGCUGUUUCGUAAGUCGUGUGUGAAAGGCGCGGGCUCAACCCGCGGACGGCCCAUGAUACUGCGAGACUAGAGUAAUGGAGAGGGAAGCGGAAUGCGCGGUGUAGCAGUGAAAUGCGUAGAUAUCGCGCGGAACACUCGUGGCGAAGGCGGGUUCCUGGACAUUAACUGACGCUGAGGCACGAAAGCCAGGGGAGCGAAAGGGAUUAGAUACCCCUGUAGUC
rnacentral:rRNA from 1 species